UACGUAGGGGCCUAGCGUUGUCCGGAUUUAUUGGGCGUAAAGAGCGUGUAGGCGGCUUUACAGGUCCGUUGUGAAAACUCGAGGCUCAACCUCGAGACGCCGGUGGAAACCGUAAGGCUAGAGUCCGGAAGAGGAGAGUGGAAUUCCUGGUGUAGCGGUGAAAUGCGCAGAUAUCAGGAGGAACACCCGUGGCGAAGGCGGCUCUCUGGGACGGUACUGACGCUGAGACGCGAAAGCGUGGGGAGCGAACAGG
rnacentral:rRNA from 1 species